UCUCGUGACUGCGUGCCUUUUGAAGAAUGAGCCUGCGAGUUUGCGGUGUGUUGCGAGGUUAACCCGUGUGGGGAAGCCGUAGCGAAAGCGAGUCCGAAUAGGGCGGUUCAGUAGCGCGCUCAAGACCCGAAGCGGAGUGAUCUAGCCAUGGGCAGGUUGAAGCGGAGGUAAGACUUCGUGGAGGACCGAACCCACCAGGGUUGAAAACCUGGGGGAUGACCUGUGGUUAGGGGUGAAAGGCCAAUCAAACUCCGUGAUAGCUGGUUCUCCCCGAAAUGCAUUUAGGUGCAGCGUCGUGUGUUUCUUGCCGGAGGUAGAGCACUGGAUAGGCGAUGGGCCCUACCGGGUUACUGACCUUAGCCAAACUCCGAAUGCCGGUAAGUGAGAGCGCGGCAGUGAGACUGUGGGGGAUAAGCUCCAUGGUCGAGAGGGAAACAGCCCAGAGCAUCGACUAAGGCCCCUAAGCGUACGCUAAGUGGGAAAGGAUGUGGAGUCGCAGAGACAACCAGGAGGUUGGCUUAGAAGCAGCCACCCUUGAAAGAGUGCGUAAUAGCUCACUGGUCUAGUGAUUCCGCGCCGACAAUGUAGCGGGGCUCAAGCGUACCGCCGAAGUCGUGUCAUUGCGAUAUGUACCCCCAACGGGGAUCGUGAUGGGUAGGGGAGCGUCGUGUGCCGGGUGAAGCAGCACCGGAAGGUAGUUGUGGACGGUUCACGAGUGAGAAUGCAGGCAUGAGUAGCGAUUCACACGUGAGAAACGUGUGCGCCGAUUGACUAAGGGUUCCUGGGUCAAGCUGAUCUGCCCAGGGUAAGUCGGGACCUAAGGCGAGGCCGACAGGCGUAGUCGAUGGAUAACCGGUUGAUAUUCCGGUACCCGCUGUGAAGCGUCAAACAUCGAACCAGGCGAUGCUAAGUCCGUGAAGCCGUUCCGGACCCUUCGGGGAAAGGAAAGUGGUGGAGCCGACGAACCAGACUUGCAGUAGGUGAGUGAUGGGGUGACGCAGGAAGGUAGUCCAGCCCGGGCGGUGGUUGUCCCGGGGUAAGGGUGUAGGCCGGUGUGUAGGUAAAUCCGCACACCUUGUGGCUGAGACCUGAUGCCGAGCCGAUUGUGGUGAAGUGGAUGAUCCUAUGCUGUCGAGAAAAGCCUCUAGCGAGUUUCAUGGCGGCCCGUACCCUAAACCGACUCAGGUGGUCAGGUAGAGAAUACCGAGGCGUUCGGGUGAACUAUGGUUAAGGAACUCGGCAAAAUGCCCCCGUAACUUCGGGAGAAGGGGGGCCACACCUGGUGAGAGUACUUGCUGCUCGAGCUGGGGGUGGCCGCAGAGACCAGCGAGAAGCGACUGUUUACUAAAAACACAGGUCCGUGCGAAGCCGUAAGGCGAUGUAUACGGACUGACGCCUGCCCGGUGCUGGAACGUUAAGGGGACCGGUUAGUCAUUCUUCGGGAUGGCGAAGCUGAGAACUUAAGCGCCAGUAAACGGCGGUGGUAACUAUAACCAUCCUAAGGUAGCGAAAUUCCUUGUCGGGUAAGUUCCGACCUGCACGAAUGGCGUAACGACUUCUCGACUGUCUCAACCAUAGGCCCGGUGAAAUUGCACUACGAGUAAAGAUGCUCGUUUCGCGCAGCAGGACGGAAAGACCCCGGGACCUUUACUACAGUUUGAUAUUGGUGUUCGGUUCGGCUUGUGUAGGAUAGGUGGGAGACUUUGAAGCGGGCACGCCAGUGUUCGUGGAGUCGUCGUUGAAAUACCACUCUGGUCGUGCUGGAUGUCUAACCUGGGUCCGUGAUCCGGAUCAGGGACAGUGUCUGAUGGGUAGUUUAACUGGGGCGGUUGCCUCCUAAAGAGUAACGGAGGCGCCCAAAGGUUCCCUCAGCCUGGUUGGCAAUCAGGUGUUGAGUGUAAGUGCACAAGGGAGCUUGACUGUGAGACCGACGGGUCGAGCAGGGACGAAAGUCGGGACUAGUGAUCCGGCGGUGGCUUGUGGAAGCGCCGUCGCUCAACGGAUAAAAGGUACCCCGGGGAUAACAGGCUGAUCUUCCCCAAGAGUCCAUAUCGACGGGAUGGUUUGGCACCUCGAUGUCGGCUCGUCGCAUCCUGGGGCUGGAGUCGGUCCCAAGGGUUGGGCUGUUCGCCCAUUAAAGCGGUACGCGAGCUGGGUUUAGAACGUCGUGAGACAGUUCGGUCCCUAUCCGCUGUGCGCGUAGGAGUCUUGAGAAGGGCUGUCCCUAGUACGAGAGGACCGGGACGGACGAACCUCUGGUGUGCCAGUUGUUCUGCCAAGGGCAUGGCUGGUUGGCUACGUUCGGGAGGGAUAACCGCUGAAAGCAUCUAAGCGGGAAGCCUGCUUCGAGAUGAGGACUCCCACCCACUUGAUGGGGUAAGGCUCCCAGUAGACGACUGGGUUGAUAGGCCGGAUCUGGAAGCACGGUAACGUGUGGAGGUGACCGGUACUAAUAGGCCGAGGGCUUGUCCUC
rnacentral:rRNA from 1 species